UCCCUUUGUGAUCCCCCCCCAUCUGCUUCUCUCCAUUUUUCCCCCCCCCAGAUUUUUGGGGCUGAGUCUGGAACAUCUGCGGGACCCCCCCAAGACCCACAAAGAGCAGCCCCCCUGGGAGUCCCCAUGGAGCAGGACGAGCCAGACGUGGUGGAACUGCAGGACUCGGACGAGGGGGACGUGGUUCGGAGGGUCUUCAUUGCUGACGACGGCAUCGUGAGCGACGGUGAGGCCGAGGUGCUGCCGCACGAGAUCAUCCGCACGGUGAUCCCGCACAGCCCCCUGCGUCCCCCGCCACC